rnacentral:tRNA from 2 species
GGGCGCUUAGCUCAGCUGGUUAGAGCACUGCCCUUACAAGGCAGGGGUCACAGGUUCGAGCCCUGUAGCGCCCACCA